rnacentral:rRNA from 1 species
CCUACGGGCGGCAGCAGUGAGGAAUAUUGGUCAAUGGGCGGAAGCCUGAACCAGCCAAGUCGCGUGAGUGAGGAAGUAUUUCGGUAUGUAAAGCUCUAUCAGCAGGGAAGAAAAUGACGGUACCUGACUAAGAAGCCCCGGCUAACUACGUUCCAGCAGCCGCGGGAAUACGUAGGGGGCAAGCGUUAUCCGGAUUUACUGGGUGUAAAGGGAGCGUAGACGGCUAAUCAAGUCAGAAGUGAAAACCAAGGGCUCAACCUUGGGACUGCUUUUGAAACUGAGUAGCUAGAGUGCAGGAGAGGUAAGCGGAAUUCCUAGUGUAGCGGUGAAAUGCGUAGAUAUUAGGAGGAACACCAGUGGCGAAGGCGGCUUACUGGACUGUAACUGACGUUGAGGCUCGAAAGCGUGGGGAGCAAACAGGAUUAGAUACCCGGGUAGUC